CUCCUACGGGAGGCAGCAGUGGGGAAUUUUGGACAAUGGGGGCAACCCUGAUCCAGCAAUGCCGCGUGAGUGAAGAAGGCCUUCGGGUUGUAAAGCUCUUUUGUUUGGGAAGAAAUCCUUAAAGAUAAUACCUUUGGGGGAUGACGGUACCAAAAGAAUAAGCACCGGCUAACUACGUGCCAGCAGCCGCGGUAAUACGUAGGGUGCAAGCGUUAAUCGGAAUUACUGGGCGUAAAGCGUGCGCAGGCGGUUUGAUAAGACAGUCGUGAAAUCCCCGAGCUUAACUUGGGAACUGCGAUUGUAACUGUCAGACUAGAAUAUGUCAGAGGGAGGUAGAAUUCCACGUGUAGCAGUGAAAUGCGUAGAGAUGUGGAGGAAUACCGGUGGCGAAGGCGGCCUCCUGGGAUAAUAUUGACGCUCAUGUACGAAAGCGUGGGGAGCAAACAGGAUUAGAUACCCUGGUAGUCCACGCCCUAAACGAUGUCAACUGGUUGUUGGGUCUUCAUUGACUUAGUAACGAAGCUAACGCGUGAAGU
rnacentral:rRNA from 1 species